AAUCUAAUUCGAUUUUUCUUUCUAAUUUCCUGUUAGGGUUUGAAGAAUUUUGAAGACUUGAAGAUUGAAGAAUUUUGAAGAUCCAGGAGAGGAUCAUCUCAAGGCGUGCACUGUCAAAGUAACUCACUAAGUCUGCAAUUGCAGAUUCAAAUCUGGUUGUUUGAGAAAAAGGAUAUAAGGAUCGAGGGACGAAUUAUUGUCUGGAUUCUUCUCUUUCUCACUGACCCAAGCUUCCAACAAAAGCAAGCCUGCAAAGGAUAUAAAGCUUAGCUGCAAGGGUGGAGAACAAAGC